CACAAAUGCACAAAUGAAUAAGGUGAUUGUGAAUUUAAAUACUGCUAUCGAACCUAUUUAAGUCCAUGUUUUAUUUGAUUAUUAAAUUUUUUGUGGUGCAGGAGCUCCAAAUAACUUGAAAAAUAAAUCCAACUGUUCCUACAUCGGAUGUCAACAUUUUUCUUCCUAAUUUUCUAGUUUACGCAAACGUAUAAAUGUUGAAUGUUUUAUGCCCAAAAUAUCAGUUUUCCAGUAUUUAUGUGACUAUUAAGUUAGUUUGUUUCUGUAAAUUUCUCAAAGGAGUAAGUGUGUGCGCAUGGGUGUCUGUUCUGAGUGUCUCCACGUUGUCUUAUUAUGAACUAUUUACCUGUGCUGCCCCUCCCCCAAUGAACACUGGAGAUAAUUGUGGUGGCAAACAAUUGCUAAGUAACCCGACUCAUGUCAGCAAAACGUUUAUGAGCAAUGUUUAAUCCUGUACACAGGGAGGACAUAUAUACACAUACAGAGGAGCAGGUAAGGUCUGGUUCUGCUAGCUUCUCACCCAAAUAUACUCAUACAGUAUCGUGAAGCAGCAGGAGAUUGGUUAUUUGGUCUUAGGCACUCCUCUCUCCUUGCUGUUUUUCACCCAGAGCUUAUCAGAAUCUAAACUGUCCUCCUAGACUCUAUAACAAAGUUCCUUUCUAAACUCAGGGUCAAAACGCCAGGCCAUCUGUGCUGAACUUCAAAAAAUUCUUGAUGUAUAGCAGACCAUACUUAAACUUUGUGUCUCUGUCUUAGAAAAAACUGUGAGUGUUAAAAAAGGCACCCAAGAAUUCAAAAGUCAAGCUACCUAAAUAACAGUUUUUAAUUUUGGAAGCACAUAUUUUAUUUGUAAAUAUGUUGCCUUAUUGUAUGCCUGAAAAAAUCCCCAACCAGUGUUUCACCCUUUUUACAGAUUAAUCAUGAGCAACAAAUGUAUGUAUUUUUGACAAGAAAAAUACUCCAAAGUAAGAGGAACAUGUCUUAGUAUGAGAGAGAGGCAAAAAAGUAGAAGCUUUUUCCAGGAGAACUGAAAAAAGGCUAAAAUAAACAGAGAUGCCUACUUUCUACAA